CUACCCUAAACCCUAAACCCUAAACCCUAAACCC
rnacentral:sRNA from 1 species